rnacentral:rRNA from 1 species
GACGUAGGAUGCAAGCGUUGUCCGGAUUUAUUGGGCGUAAAGAGUUCGUAGGCGGUUCGUUAAGUUUGGUGUUAAAGACCGGGGCUCAACCUCGGGACCGCACUGAAUACUGGCGGACUGGAGUGCAGUAGAGGCAAGCGGAAUUCCCAGUGUAGCGGUGAAAUGCGUAGAUAUUGGGAAGAACACCGGUGGCGCAAGCGGCUUGCUGGGCUGUUACUGACGCUGAGGAACGAAAGCUAGGGGAGCGAAUGGG